rnacentral:tRNA from 1 species
GAUGAAGUGGCUGAAGGAAAUAGGCGAUAAAUUGUAAAUUUAUUCAUGGUUAUGGACCCUUCAUUA